CCUACGGGUGGCAGCAGUGAGGAAUAUUGGUCAAUGGACGAGAGUCUGAACCAGCCAAGUAGCGUGAAGGAUGACUGCCCUAUGGGUUGUAAACUUCUUUUAUAUGGGAAUAAAAUGUUCCACGUGUGGGAUUUUGUAUGUACCAUAUGAAUAAGGAUCGGCUAACUCCGUGCCAGCAGCCGCGGUAAUACGGAGGAUCCGAGCGUUAUCCGGAUUUAUUGGGUUUAAAGGGAGCGUAGGUGGAUCGUUAAGUCAGUUGUGAAAGUUUGCGGCUCAACCGUAAAAUUGCAGUUGAAACUGGCAGUCUUGAGUACAGUAGAGGUGGGCGGAAUUCGUGGUGUAGCGGUGAAAUGCUUAGAUAUCACGAAGAACUCCGAUUGCGAAGGCAGUUCACUGGACUGCAACUGACACUGAGGCUCGAAAGUGUGGGUAUCAAACAGGAUUAGAUACCCUAGUAGUC
rnacentral:rRNA from 1 species